rnacentral:lncRNA from 1 species
GCAAUUAUGAGAAGAUGACAAGCACAGGCAGAAAAACGUUUAUUAUAGUUCAUUAUAGUUCAAAAAACCUCACGGGACAGCUGUUUCAUGCUCGCGGGCCACAUCUGUCCCAUGACUUUUGGCAUGGCAGUGUAUAACUUGAGUCCAAAAAAGUAUCCCGUCUCCAAAGUAUAUAGGAUAAAUAUAAAGUAAGAAUAUAAUAAAAUUUCCAAUGUUUCUAUCUUUUCCAGAGGCCCCAAAUAAGUCAAUGUGUGGAAACCCAAGGCAUGAACCAAGAAAAGCAAUUGAGCUCAAAGAAAAGGAAAGCAGCAGAAGAACAUCUCCACCUAAACCUGGGGUUAAUGGCAAAGGUCCUAAGAACUGCAGUAACGACUACAGCAACAGCUUCAUGAAUUCUGAUGACAUUUACGUCAACCAACCACGUUAACAGCUGACCGAGAUUAUAAUUUUGUGCUAUUUAAUGCAAUCAGAAUAUUCAGAUUUUCCAUAAUUUAAUGCAUUUUGUAUUACUGCUUAUAUGCCUCAUUUCCUAUAAUUAAACCUAGUCCUGGAUUACAUUUAUUUUUGCAGAAUCUUUAUGCAGGACACUGUGUAAUCUAGUACUAUGCUUUGACUUAUUUUUGUGAUAUUUGUAAAUGGCUACUUUUUUUAAAAUAAAUGUUCAAACAAAUGCUGAAAUGCUAAAACA